UACGGAGGGGGCGAGCGUUAUUCGGAAUUAUUGGGCGUAAAGGGCGCGUAGGCGGCUGUACAAGUCAAAGGUGAAAUCCCUCGGCUCAACUGAGGAACUGCCUUUGAAACUGUACGGCUUGAGGCCGGGAGGGGGUAGCGGAAUUCCCAGUGUAGCGGUGAAAUGCGUAGAUACGUGGGAGGAACACCAGUCGGCGAAGGCGGCUACCUGGAC
rnacentral:rRNA from 1 species